rnacentral:siRNA from 1 species
CUGUUUUGCCAUAUUCUCUCC